rnacentral:lncRNA from 1 species
UUACUGUUCAAUGACUUCACUCGGAGUCCUUGGCCUAGUUUAGAUUCCUUAUCAAAAAAAAAAGCCAUGCGCUGGGAAAAGAUUACUUUUUUUCAAACUUCGGGAUGAGGGGAGGGCAAGAGACAGAAAACAAGCUCAUGCUGUUGAACAAAUACAUGGAAGGGGACAGAGCCCGGGGCUAUUUGGAAAGCAAUAGCCCAUUCCAAGAUGUGGCAUCGGGCUGGCAUCCACACAGCUCUUAAAUUCCUUUUCUAGGGCCAGAUGGCCUUGGAAUUACACAAUUUUUAAUCUACAGCAUGAACCUCUCUAGGCUUGGGGAAAUCUUCUCGGGAUAGCCACAUUGGAUUUAUUUGCAGAGGAGACUGUCUCUUGCCCCGGGGGCCGCAUUUGACGGCAAUGGAAUCGGCCUCGUUGACGACAAGGCACCAUGAACAUAUCAAGAGCCCUUGAUCAUGAGUUCAACCACGACAGAGAAACACGCAACUGUACCCUCAGGCACAGACAAAAGACUUCUAAACUCUCUUUUGUGGAGCGCGGAGAUGAAAGGGCAGAGGAAGACAGCGGCUUGUCAGGGAAGAAGCCGGUUUCCAGCAGCCAGUUAGUGUGCAGGUGUAGCAGACCAGAAGAACGACAGGUUAUCGCCGGCUCCCUGCUCGAGAGAUGAGACGCCACGCCAUCAAGUCAUGAUGUCUCAUCCCUCCUUCGACUCUCGCACCCGGCCAUCCUUUGCUUCUGACAUGACGGACGUCUUGUUAUUUACCAAUAUCAGACACCAACGGCGCCUGCUCGGAUUUAAAUAUUUAAUUUAACGCGUUGCGAAUAGGAACAUCAUGAAUAGCUCUUUGCUUGAUUAAACAAUGCCUCUGCAGUUCGAGCUUCCGAUUCUUUUCUUUUCUUUCUUUUUUAAUAUUUGUGCUCAGAUGAAAUCUAUGGCAUAUAAAGAAUGACGACAUACAUAUGCAUUCUAUGAACAACCACCCAAAAUGAAUACAGUGAUCAUAUAAAGACAAGGCAACAGUUUAUACAGACAAUGUAAGGACAUAGUAUGACCAGUACGUGAAAUAUUCUGGACAGGUUAAGUCAGUAACCUGCCUCAACCCAAUGAAAGGAAUAAGUAAUAAGUGUCUGCUGUCUAGUCUGUACACUUAUUUAAUGCAAAUGAUAUGCUGCCAACUUUGUCUUUGAUCUAUUUUUUGAGCUUUGGUCCCUUAAUUUGAGAGUAAAAAAAGAAGCUACUGUGUGCUGUUCAUCUGAUGUGGUUAUAACACCUUAACAUUUGAGGCUGUAAUUUGGCACUUUAUUGUCAUUGUUGUAAUUUAAAGACCAGUGUGCUGGAGUACAUAACCAACACAACAAAACACGUGUCAUUGUAUUUAUACUGCACGAACUGCACUGUACAAGCAAUAAUACAUAUACAUACAUUGCUA